rnacentral:lncRNA from 1 species
CUGGGGUUUCCUUAGGGAGGUUGGAAGGUUUGUUCUUUCUCUCUUUGCAGUAAAUCUUGCAGGUGUGUGUUUUUUGGGUUCAUGCUGCUUGUAUGAGCUGUGAUGAUUACCAUGAAAAUUUGCAGCUUCACUUUUAAAACCAGUGAGAGCACAAACCCACCGGGAGGAACAAGCAAUUCCAGACGUACUGCUUUAGGAGGUGUAACACUCACCGGCGAGGUUUGUAGCUUCACUCCUGAGCCAGUGAGACCACGAAUCCACCAGCAGGAAAAAAAGAUUCCAAACAUGUCUGAAUGUCAGAAGAAACAAUUUCCAAACACACUGCCUUUAAGAACUGUAACACUCCCUGUGAGGGUCUAUGGCUUCAUUCUUUAAGUCAGUGAGACUAAGACGCCACCAAUUCGGGGCACAUUGGGACUAUAGUUACUGCCACCAUGCACAUCUAAACAACGUUCUGGAAUAUCUUCUUGCUUUGGUCAACCACCAGGCAUGGGAAAAUGGCUUCAUCGGUUGUCUUUCCACAAACAAGAUUCUAACUCAAAUAGCUCAAAGGACACCUUCUCCGGGAAACCUUCCCUGACUUCCGAC